rnacentral:rRNA from 1 species
CCUACGGGAGGCAGCAGUGAGGAAUAUUGGUCAAUGGAGGCAACUCUGAACCAGCCACGUCGCGUGAAGGAUGACGGCCCUACGGGUUGUAAACUUCUUUUAUACAGGAAUAAAGUGAGUCACGUGUGACUUUUUGCAUGUACUGUAUGAAUAAGGAUCGGCUAACUCCGUGCCAGCAGCCGCGGUAAUACGGAGGAUCCAAGCGUUAUCCGGAUUUACUGGGCGUAAAGGGUGGGUAGGCGGUUAUAUAUGUCAGGUGUAAAAAGCUAUGGCUUAACCAUAGUAAGCACUUGAAACUGUAUGACUUGAGUGCAGGAGAGGUAAGCGGAAUUCCCAGUGUAGCGGUGGAGUGCGUAGAUAUUGGGAGGAACACCAGUGGCGAAGGCGACUGCCUGGACGAUAACUGACGCUGAGGCACGAAAGCUAGGGGAGCAAACAGGAUUAGAUACCCUGGUAGUCCUAGCCGUAAACGAUGGGUACUAGGUGUAGGAGGUUUCGAUACCUUCUGUGCCGCAGUUAACGCAAUAAGUACCCCGCCUGGGGAGUACGGCCGCAAGGUUGAAACUCAAAGGAAUUGACGG